GGGCGGUUAGCUCAGCUGGGAGAGCAACUGGUUUACACCCAGUAGGUCGGCGGUUCGAACCCGUCACCGCCCACCA
rnacentral:tRNA from 1 species